rnacentral:misc_RNA from 1 species
AAAAAAAAAAAAAAAAAACAAACCUUGAAGUACAUGAGGAGAGGAAUGCAAAAUAAUUAAUUUGUUAACAAAAGAACCUAUUAUAAGAACUUUUCUUUACAUGACCAUGCCUUUUGUGAUCCAUAUAAGUGUUAGCUUAAUACUUUUCGACAAGUCAUAACUUUGUCGAAGUCUGUGUGUGAUAGCUGAGGGUUUUUCUCCCUUUACAGAUUGUGAUACCAGGGGCAGUGCUCUGUCACUCUGUGGCAAUUAAUUACAUUCAUGGUUAGACGCCAGCUUCAAGGUACUUAGUUCAUAUAGCUUAUUUCAGCAACAGAGAGAGAAAUCCUAAGGGCCUUCAAUUAGUAAAUGGUUAGACCUUUUCACUGAUAGACUCCCACUUUUAGUGUCUAGUUUCUUCUAGUUUUGGGGCUUUUCAAAUUUGAAUAGUCUACUCACAAACUGCCUUUACCUGUGCCUUGUGAUGCAAGAGGACAAAAUUCUGUUUCAAUAGAACUGGAAAGAGAGCACUCAGUUGUUCCAAUUAUAUGGUAUGCAUAAUUUCUACUAUUGAACAUAAGAACUCCAGUGCAGUAUUAAUUUGGCUUGUUAGCAAAAUAACAUCUCAUAGAUUGCCUUUUGAAAGCUAGAUAACCAUUUACCUUUACAUAGUUCUUGAAAUAUCUUUUGAUGGUUGG